rnacentral:pre_miRNA from 12 species
GUGCAGGCCCUUGGAAGCCCCAUUAGACACUCCAUUUUACACUUGGCGUGAAGGGGCUCCAAUCCAAGGCUUUGUGCAG